rnacentral:misc_RNA from 1 species
CCGCGCCGUGCAGACUGCAGCAUGCCCUCCAGCUGGGCUGGCAUGCGGUGCUCCAUGGCGUGCAGGAACAUAGCGGGUCCGGGGGGCUCGUCGCUGCCGUCUUCGUCCGCUACUCCGCAGGGUAUGGACACGAGGGCCACCCCGGCGGCGGAGUACUGGCCCAUGCGGCGGUGGAUGAAGUCGGGCACGGCGACGGUAGCCGAGAUGCUGCCGUGCCCGCGGUCCACGAUGGCGCGCGCCAGGUGCAGCAUCGGGGUGACAUGGCCCUGCGCUGGGAACGGCACGACAACGAUCUGCGUGAGCUCCGCAGCCAUGCCGCCGUGCUCUGUGGUCGUG